AAUAGAUACCCGGGUAGUCCACGCCGUAAACGGUGGGCACUAGAUGUGGGGCUCUUUCCAUGAGUUCCGCGUCGCAGCUAACGCAUUAAGUGCCCCGCCCGGGGAGUACGGCCGCAAGGCUAAAACUCAAAGGAAUUGACGGGGGCCCGCACAAGCGGCGGAGCAUGCGGAUUAAUUCGAUGCAACGCGAAGAACCUUACCAAGGCUUGACAUAUACGGUCUAUCCCUAGAGAUAGGGAGUGCUUCGGCGCCGUAUACAGGUGGUGCAUGGUUGUCGUCAGCUCGUGUCGUGAGAUGUUGGGUUAAGUCCCGCAACGAGCGCAACCCUCGUCCUAUGUUGCCAGCGGGUAAUGCCGGGGACUCAUGGGAGACUGCCGGGGUCAACUCGGAGGAAGGUGGGGAUGAUGUCAAGUCAGCAUGGCCCUUACGUCCUGGGCUACACCCACGCUACAAUGGCCGGUACAACGGGCGGCGAAACCGCGAGGUGGAGCUAAUCCCUUAAAGCCGGUCUCAGUUCGGAUCGUAGGCUGCAACUCGCCU
rnacentral:rRNA from 1 species